ensembl:snRNA U4 U4 spliceosomal RNA
AGCUUUUCACAGUGGCAGUGUGGUAGCCAAUGAGGUUUGCCCAAGGCGUGAUUGUUACUAUUUGAAAACUUUUCCCAAUACUCUGCCAUGACAAUUUGCAACAUGUAGUCAGCACUGGUUUUAAAAAAAG